rnacentral:misc_RNA from 1 species
GAUGUAGCAUCUGCCUCAAUGCCAUUGCUUCGCCGCCCUCCAUUUUCUUUGGGGGAUUCACCUUCUUCCUUUUCAAGCAUAACAUGUUCUUCCCUUAUUUUAUGGGAAAGGGAAGCAUCUUCUUCCUCCAAAACCAUAGGAGACUGAUCCCCAACAGUUUUCAAAGAAGGGUCUCUACGCCUUCGAGCUUUUGCCUGGACUUCAAGAGCAUCAUCAUCAGAGCUGCUUCCACUUUCACUCUCACUAUCACCAUCAGUAAGGCUAUCUGACACCCUUCUUGAUCGACGUUUGGAUCUCUUAUCACGUCUCUUUCGCCUUUUUUCACGCCGUUUAUCUCUUCUUUUUCCACGUCUAUACUUGUC